GCAGGAGUCUGGUAGAGGGCAAAUAUACUGGUCACUGGAAUAGCAUUCCCUUCGAACAUCAUGGCAAGUAGCUGCUCGUCUCCUCGUUGGAAGGCAGCACUGGAUUCCUGCUCGUGUGACUACCAGUGUUCUCCAGUCUGCUGUGCACCGAUGAAAAUAAUUUUGCCAUAGAGGGCAGAUAAUGCAUGGCUGAUCGCCUGUGUUACCAAUGGCUUUAUUAGCAAAAAUACCCCAACCUAGAGCAGAAAUAUUGCAACUGGAGCUCUCCAUGCCACUUACAAAGAGAUACUUGCAGGAACAUGGACAAACUCCAACAGCUGCCAUUAAAAGAGGCUCUUGCCAGAAACCCAAUGACCUUAAGUGAACUCUGUAGUAACAGGGCUGGAAAAGGAAGAGAUGGUUUACAGAGUUAACCACCUGUUGUUGAAAAGCCAUUUCAGUUCUCCUUCCACAGGUGGCAGACUUUACCCCUUUUUAUUAUUCUACUGUAACUAUAAAUCUUUUACCUGGUUGGUUAAAGAAAAUUUUAUAUCAUUUUGCUAAGAUUAUUGGCUUAAUUCUGUGUAAAGAAUUCUGUCUUGCUUUUGUCUGAUUUUAAAAAGUCAAAUAUGAACAAUCCUGAAUUAAAGACAAUGACUUGAAAUUUCUUGUAAAAUUUAGCCUGGCAGGGAAUAUGUAAAUUAAAACCAUUUGAUUUUAUUUAAACUGUUUACUUUUUUUUGUAUGGUCCCAUUUGGGAUGUGGGGUGAGGGAGUUCUCCUGAAAGUUUUUUAAUAUGCAUUAGUUUUAUUACUUUGCUUCUUCCUUCUAAAUGGAACUCUCCAUGAAACACAGAAACAUUUUUGAAUUUUUACUGUUCUCUAGUACAGUCAGAGAAAACAAAAGAAGUGUCUGGGCUCUUUACAGAUGGUGAUACUGAUAGAUAACUUAUUCCUAAAGAAUGUGAAGAAUAAAGAGAGAGAAGGGCUCUGAUAUUUAAAAGGAAUUUGUUGGAAUUUAGAGAUGGUAAGCAUGGCAUGUGUUUCUCCUUUUAUUAGAGAAGGAGGAUCGUGUAUAAAACAUUCUUCCUUGGUAAGAUCUAGUUUUCUACAUUGUGAGACUGAUUGGUUUGAAGACAGUUGCCAAGUGGAACAAGAAUUACUGCCAUUGCAGACUGAAUGAAUUUGUGUACAUUUGCUUCAGCAUCCACAUACAUGAAAACAAGUAAUUCUGGUCUGCUGUGUAUUACCAAGACUCAAAAAGGAAUUAUAAACAAAAUAUUGCUGCUGUGAAAUCCUGAGAACUGAUUCUCAGGCGUGAAUUACAUUCAUAAUAUAAUACAAGUUGUUUAUUUCUGGAGUUAAAUAACUUGUUCAUAUGCCUAGAAUGUCCAAAAUAAAAAGUGCCCUUGGCAGAUGUCCCUAUUAAGGAAUAGGGAAGGAUCUUUACAUUGUUUCUAACUUAAAACAUUUUCAUAAAGUAAUGUUAAAUAUUUUAUCCAUGCAGGAACUAGAAAAAUAGAAUUAUUAGUCAUACUGAAGCAAAGUUAAUGUCAGUUUCCCUCUUGAAAAUGAAAAUGCAAUACAUAAGUAUUAUUAGAAAGAUUCCAUCCUAUUUGGAAACAUUAACUAAAAACAAAUCGAUUAAUGUUUUCCUUUUGCCUCAAACUUCGUUAGGAUAGUUUUUAUUGUUCCAGAGUUUUGCAAAUUCCUUUUCUAUCCAAAAUCCACGGACUAAAUCUGUCAGUCACUUUUUGUGAGAUUUCAGAAUGCUUACUAAUUGCUUGUGCUUGCUCUAGAUCUCAUUGGGGGAAACCUGUGUUUUGGGGGAGUGCAAUGGAAAGGUUUAAAAGUUUUGGUCCGUGGAUAAUUUUUUUAUAACAGAAUCCCUUACUCAGUUACUGUAGUUUUCAGGACUUAAGGCAUGUGCACUACCAUAUGUACAGUUGUACAUUUCACUGUACUUUCUUUGUAAAUGUGUGAUUAAUGAUGUAAUGUUAGAGAGACUUAAAGGCAGACUUUUUUCCUUCCUCUAUAUCGAGAACCUUAAAUUGCUGUACUGUACUUAAAAGCUGACUGAUGCAAAUUUCUAGAAUUGUACUUGGUUGUGGGCUGUUCUUGCCCUCUCUCAAUAGUUACAUCCCAUCACCUGCAAAAAAUAGUUACAAUGUCUGUAUAAACGUGUGUAUUGGUAACCAAUAUCUCAGAACACCUCAUUUGUACUAUCACUGUAUUUGUGUACUUUGCCAAUUGUGUAAAUAAUAAAUUCAUAAUGACUUCUACUUUU